UGACCUACGGGGGGCAGCAGUGGGGAGUAUUGCACAAUGGGGGAAACCCUGAUGCAGCGACGCCGCGUGAGCGAUGAAGUAUUUCGGUAUGUAAAGCUCUAUCAGCAGGGAAGAAAAUGACGGUACCUGACUAAGAAGCCCCGGCUAACUACGUGCCAGCAGCCGCGGUAAUACGUAGGGGGCAAGCGUUAUCCGGAUUUACUGGGUGUAAAGGGAGCGUAGGCGGCGAUGCAAGUCAGAAGUGAAAGCCCGGGGCUCAACUCCGGGACCGCUUUUGAAACUGUAUGGCUAGAUUGCAGGAGAGG
rnacentral:rRNA from 1 species